rnacentral:rRNA from 1 species
GGGUAGCGGAACACGUACGCAACCUUCCUUUAACUGGAGAAUAGCCCCUCGAAAGAGGGAUUAAUACUCCGUAACAUAAUGAAGAGGCAUCUCUUUAUUAUUAUAGCUCCGGCGGUUAAAGAUGGGCGUGCGACUGAUUAGAUAGUUGGCGGGGUAACGGCCCACCAAGUCUGCGAUCAGUAACUGGUGUGAGAGCACGACCAGUCACACGGGCACUGAGACACGGGCCCG